GGUUAAGCGACUAAGCGUACACGGUGGAUGCCCUGGCAGUCAGAGGCGAUGAAGGACGUGCUAAUCUGCGAUAAGCGUCGGUAAGGUGAUAUGAACCGUUAUAACCGGCGAUUUCCGAAUGGGGAAACCCAGUGUGAUUCGUCACACUAUCAUUAACUGAAUCCAUAGGUUAAUGAGGCGAACCGGGGGAACUGAAACAUCUAAGUACCCCGAGGAAAAGAAAUCAACCGAGAUUCCCCCAGUAGCGGCGAGCGAACGGGGAGCAGCCCAGAGCCUGAAUCAGUGUGUGUGUUAGUGGAAGCGUCUGGAAAGGCGUGCGAUACAGGGUGACAGCCCCGUACACAAAAAUGCACAUGCUGUGAGCUCGAUGAGUAGGGCGGGACACGUGGUAUCCUGUCUGAAUAUGGGGGGACCAUCCUCCAAGGCUAAAUACUCCUGACUGACCGAUAGUGAACCAGUACCGUGAGGGAAAGGCGAAAAGAACCCCGGCGAGGGGAGUGAAAAAGAACCUGAAACCGUGUACGUACAAGCAGUGGGAGCACGCUUAGGCGUGUGACUGCGUACCUUUUGUAUAAUGGGUCAGCGACUUAUAUUCUGUAGCAAGGUUAACCGAAUAGGGGAGCCGAAGGGAAACCGAGUCUUAACUGGGCGUUAAGUUGCAGGGUAUAGACCCGAAACCCGGUGAUCUAGCCAUGGGCAGGUUGAAGGUUGGGUAACACUAACUGGAGGACCGAACCGACUAAUGUUGAAAAAUUAGCGGAUGACUUGUGGCUGGGGGUGAAAGGCCAAUCAAACCGGGAGAUAGCUGGUUCUCCCCGAAAGCUAUUUAGGUAGCGCCUCGUGAAUUCAUCUCCGGGGGUAGAGCACUGUUUCGGCAAGGGGGUCAUCCCGACUUACCAACCCGAUGCAAACUGCGAAUACCGGAGAAUGUUAUCACGGGAGACACACGGCGGGUGCUAACGUCCGUCGUGAAGAGGGAAACAACCCAGACCGCCAGCUAAGGUCCCAAAGUCAUGGUUAAGUGGGAAACGAUGUGGGAAGGCCCAGACAGCCAGGAUGUUGGCUUAGAAGCAGCCAUCAUUUAAAGAAAGCGUAAUAGCUCACUGGUCGAGUCGGCCUGCGCGGAAGAUGUAACGGGGCUAAACCAUGCACCGAAGCUGCGGCAGCGACGCUUAUGCGUUGUUGGGUAGGGGAGCGUUCUGUAAGCCUGCGAAGGUGUGCUGUGAGGCAUGCUGGAGGUAUCAGAAGUGCGAAUGCUGACAUAAGUAACGAUAAAGCGGGUGAAAAGCCCGCUCGCCGGAAGACCAAGGGUUCCUGUCCAACGUUAAUCGGGGCAGGGUGAGUCGACCCCUAAGGCGAGGCCGAAAGGCGUAGUCGAUGGGAAACAGGUUAAUAUUCCUGUACUUGGUGUUACUGCGAAGGGGGGACGGAGAAGGCUAUGUUGGCCGGGCGACGGUUGUCCCGGUUUAAGCGUGUAGGCUGGUUUUCCAGGCAAAUCCGGAAAACUAAGGCUGAGGCGUGAUGACGAGGCACUACGGUGCUGAAGCAACAAAUGCCCUGCUUCCAGGAAAAGCCUCUAAGCAUCAGGUAACAUCAAAUCGUACCCCAAACCGACACAGGUGGUCAGGUAGAGAAUACCAAGGCGCUUGAGAGAACUCGGGUGAAGGAACUAGGCAAAAUGGUGCCGUAACUUCGGGAGAAGGCACGCUGAUAUGUAGGUGAAGUCCCUCGCGGAUGGAGCUGAAAUCAGUCGAAGAUACCAGCUGGCUGCAACUGUUUAUUAAAAACACAGCACUGUGCAAACACGAAAGUGGACGUAUACGGUGUGACGCCUGCCCGGUGCCGGAAGGUUAAUUGAUGGGGUUAGCGCAAGCGAAGCUCUUGAUCGAAGCCCCGGUAAACGGCGGCCGUAACUAUAACGGUCCUAAGGUAGCGAAAUUCCUUGUCGGGUAAGUUCCGACCUGCACGAAUGGCGUAAUGAUGGCCAGGCUGUCUCCACCCGAGACUCAGUGAAAUUGAACUCGCUGUGAAGAUGCAGUGUACCCGCGGCAAGACGGAAAGACCCCGUGAACCUUUACUAUAGCUUGACACUGAACAUUGAGCCUUGAUGUGUAGGAUAGGUGGGAGGCUUUGAAGUGUGGACGCCAGUCUGCAUGGAGCCGACCUUGAAAUACCACCCUUUAAUGUUUGAUGUUCUAACGUUGACCCGUAAUCCGGGUUGCGGACAGUGUCUGGUGGGUAGUUUGACUGGGGCGGUCUCCUCCUAAAGAGUAACGGAGGAGCACGAAGGUUGGCUAAUCCUGGUCGGACAUCAGGAGGUUAGUGCAAUGGCAUAAGCCAGCUUGACUGCGAGCGUGACGGCGCGAGCAGGUGCGAAAGCAGGUCAUAGUGAUCCGGUGGUUCUGAAUGGAAGGGCCAUCGCUCAACGGAUAAAAGGUACUCCGGGGAUAACAGGCUGAUACCGCCCAAGAGUUCAUAUCGACGGCGGUGUUUGGCACCUCGAUGUCGGCUCAUCACAUCCUGGGGCUGAAGUAGGUCCCAAGGGUAUGGCUGUUCGCCAUUUAAAGUGGUACGCGAGCUGGGUUUAGAACGUCGUGAGACAGUUCGGUCCCUAUCUGCCGUGGGCGCUGGAGAACUGAGGGGGGCUGCUCCUAGUACGAGAGGACCGGAGUGGACGCAUCACUGGUGUUCGGGUUGUCAUGCCAAUGGCACUGCCCGGUAGCUAAAUGCGGAAGAGAUAAGUGCUGAAAGCAUCUAAGCACGAAACUUGCCCCGAGAUGAGUUCUCCCUGACUCCUUGAGAGUCCUGAAGGAACGUUGAAGACGACGACGUUGAUAGGCCGGGUGUGUAAGCGCAGCGAUGCGUUGAGCUAACCGGUACUAAUGAACCGUGAGGCUUAACCUU
rnacentral:rRNA from 1 species